rnacentral:rRNA from 1 species
UACAGAGGGGGCCAGCGUUAUUCGGAAUUAUUGGCGUAAAGGGCGCGAGUAGGCGGCCAUGCGUGUCUCCGUGAAAUCCCUCGGCUUAACUGAGGACGUGCGGAAGAAACUGCAAGGCUCGAGUCCGGGAGAGGGGGUGGAAUUCCCAGUGUAGCGGUGAAAUGCGUAGAUAUUGGGAGGAACACCGGUGGCGAAGGCGGCCCCUGGACCGGUACUGACGCUGAGG